AUACGUAGGGGGCUAGCGUUAUCCGGAAUUACUGGGCGUAAAGGGUGCGUAGGUGGUUUCUUAAGUCAGACGUGAAAGGCUACGGCUCAACCGUAGUAAGCUUUUGAAACUAAGAGACUUGAGGGCAGGAGAGGAGAGUAGAAUUCAUAGUGUAGCGGUGAAAUGCGUAGAUAUUAGGAGGAAAACCAGUUGCGAAGGCGGCGCUCUGGACUGUAACUGACACUGAGGCACGAAAGCGUGGGGAGCAAACAGGAUUAGAUACCCUGGUAGUCCACGCCGUAAACGAUGAGUACUAGCUGUCGGGGGUUACCCCCCUCGGUGGCGCAGCUAACGCAUUAAGUACUCCGCCUGGGAAGUACGCUCGCAAGAGUGAAACUCAAAUGAAUUGGCGGGG
rnacentral:rRNA from 1 species